rnacentral:rRNA from 1 species
GAGGAAAGAGGGAGGCGUGCUUAACACAUGCAAGUCGAACGGAAAGGCUCCUGCUUGCAGGGGUACUCGAGUGGCGAACGGGUGAGUAACACGUGGGUGAUCUGCCCUGCACUUCGGGAUAAGCCUGGGAAACUGGGUCUAAUACCGGAUAGGACGAUGGUUUGGAUGCCAUUGUGGAAAGUUUUUCGGUGUGGGAUGAGCUCGCGGCCUAUCAGCUUGUUGGUGGGGUAAUGGCCUACCAAGGCGUCGACGGGUAGCCGGCCUGAGAGGGUGUACGGCCACAUUGGGACUGAGAUACGGCCCAGACUCCUACGGGAGGCAGCAGUGGGGAAUAUUGCACAAUGGGCGCAAGCCUGAUGCAGCGACGCCGCGUGGGGGAUGACGGCCUUCGGGUUGUAAACUCCUUUCGCUAGGGACGAAGCGCAAGUGACGGUACCUGGAGAAGAAGCACCGGCUAACUACGUG